rnacentral:rRNA from 1 species
AACGAACGCUGGCGGCAGGCUUAACACAUGCAAGUCGAGCGCCCCGCAAGGGGAGCGGCAGACGGGUGAGUAACGCGUGGGAAUCUACCCAUCUCUGCGGAACAACUCCGGGAAACUGAGCUAAUACCGCAUACGCCCUUCGGGGCAAAGAUUUAUCGGGGAUGGAUGAGCCCGCGUUGGAUUAGCUAGUUGGUGGGGUAAAGGCCGACCAAGGCGACGAUCCAUAGCUGGUCUGAGAGGAUGAGCAGCCACAUUGGGAAUGAGACACGGCCCAAACUCCUACGGGAGGCAGCAGUGGGGAAUAUUGGACAAUGGGCGCAAGCCUGAUCCAGCCAUGCCGCGUGAGUGAUGAAGGCCUUAGGGUUGUAAAGCUCUUUCACCGAUGAAGAUAAUGACGGUAGUCGGAGAAGAAGCCCCGGCUAACUUCGUGCCAGCAGCCGCGGUAA